AAUGGGCGCAAGCCUGAUCCAGCCAUGCCGCGUGAGUGAAGAAGGCCUUCGGGUUGUAAAGCUCUUUCGGUGGGGAAGAAAUCGCAUUCUUUAAUAGAGGGUGUGGAUGACGGUACCCGCACAAGAAGCACCGGCUAACUACGUGCCAGCAGCCGCGGUAAUACGUAGGGUGCGAGCGUUAAUCGGAAUUACUGGGCGUAAAGCGUGCGCAGGCGGUUAUAUAAGUCAGAUGUGAAAUCCCCGGGCUCAACCUGGGAACUGCAUUUGAGACUGUAUGGCUAGAGUGUGGCAGAGGGGGGUGGAAUUCCACGUGUAGCAGUGAAAUGCGUAGAGAUGUGGAGGAACACCGAUGGCGAAGGCAGCCCCCUGGGCCAAGACUGACGCUCAUGCACGAAAGCGUGGGGAGCAAA
rnacentral:rRNA from 1 species